UACGUAGGGUGCGAGCGUUGUCCGGAAUUAUUGGGCGUAAAGAGCUUGUAGGCGGUUUGUCGCGUCUGCUGUGAAAAUCCGGGGCUCAACCCCGGACUUGCAGUGGGUACGGGCAGACUAGAGUGUGGUAGGGGGAGACUGGAAUUCCUGGUGUAGCGGUGAAAUGCGCAGAUAUCAGGAGGAACACCGGUGGCGAAGGCGGUUCUCUGGGCAUGUCCCUGACGGCUGAGGAGCGAAAGUGUCGGGGAGCGAACAGG
rnacentral:rRNA from 1 species